rnacentral:rRNA from 1 species
GACGGAGGAUGCAAGCGUUAUCCGGAAUGAUUGGGCGUAAAGAGCUCGUAGGCGGUUUGUCGCGUCUGCUGUGAAAACCCGAGGCUCAACCUCGGGCCUGCAGUGGGUACGGGCAGACUAGAGUGCGGUAGGGGAGAUUGGAAUUCCUGGUGUAGCGGUGGAAUGCGCAGAUAUCAGGAGGAACACCAAUGGCGAAGGCAGAUCUCUGGGCCGUAACUGACGCUGAGGAGCGAAAGCAUGGGGAGCGAACAGG